rnacentral:lncRNA from 10 species
GUCCUGGGUUUCUUUUUCCCCUAUCUUAAGAGCCACGUGUGUGUUAAAAGGGGGUCAGUUCAUGCUUGUGUGUCUGCCUCUCAGCUAUUCUUCAAGCUCCCAAGGUUUGGCUCAGGGUUGUAAAAUAAUAUUAAGUUCUGACAGUGUAAGAAGUGUGCCCGGAAAAAAAAUAACCAGAGCAGGAAGGAGAAGAAAAGCAUGAGAAGAGUGCAGAUGAGUUUUGCAGCUGGUUUUGCAUUAGAAGGGGAACAUUAGCAUUAGACACAGGAAAACGUCGGCUGCGGAGCCCAAGUUUCCUUCACACAAAGGUCACCAGCUCUUCACUGUGAAUAAACUCAUGUUGCAGACAGAGGGAUAGAUGAUUGAGAAUGAAGAAAAGAAGAAGACAAAAAUGAAGACAAAGAAGGAGAAGGAGGAGAAAGAGGAACGGAGACGGAGAGAAAGAGAGACUGAUCUGGACUCAUAUCGCCUGGAUCUUGAACCCUGACUUUUUGCUGUUAUUGUUGUUCUAUAUGACAUUGAUCAUAUUAGUAAAUUUCCUGUGCUUCCAUUUCCUCAUCUGUAAUGUGAGAAUAAAAAUAGUAAUGCUGCUUUUGGAUUCUUGGGAAUAUUAAAUACCCAAGAAAAAUAUUUUUAAUAUUUUUAUUACAAGAUGAAGCCCAAACUCUUUUUCUGGCAUCCAAUAUCCUCAUUAUUUUUGUGCCCAGUUAUUUUCUCACUCCUAUAUUCUUAUUUUUCCCCAUUCUUUUAUUCCUUCCACAUUCCAAUCAAAUGAAUAUCAUGGGACUGACUACAGGUUGUCACAAUGAUCUCUUCCUCUGUCUUAAACCAAAACUUAUUUCAACCUCACCUUCCCAUCGCAGGUGAUGCUAAAUCACCAGUUGCUGGGACUAAGAACCUGAAUCAUUCAGGAUCCUUCUCUUGUGUUUUCCCUCAUAUCCCAGGCAUGGUCUAUAGAUUCUAAUUCUGAAAAAGAGCUGAAUUUUCCUCCUCUCUCCAUCCCACCUAGAAUAACCUUCCACCAUCUCUUAUCUGGGUUACUGUAACAGCCUCUUCAGUGGGCUCCCUGCCUCCAGCCUUUUUUUUUUUUUUUUUUUUUGAGACAGAGUCUUGCUCUUGUUGCCCAGGCUGGAGUGCAGUGGCGUGAUCUUGGCUCACUGCAACGUGUGCCUCCUGGGUUCAAGCGAUUUUCCUGCCUCAGCCUCCUGAGUAGCUGGGAUUACACCACCAUGCCCAGCUAAUUUUUGUAUUUUUAGUAGAGAUGCGGUUUCCAUCAUGUUGGCCAGGCUGGUCUCAAACUCCUGACCUUAGGUGAUCCACCUGCCUCGGCCUCCCAAAGUUUAGCUGCACAUACCUGGCAGAGUUGGUGAUCUAAAAGCACAAAUCACAUCCUGCUUUUUCCCUUCUCAAAGCUUCCAACAGCUUGUCACUGUGCCUAGAACAAAAUUCAAACUCUUUAUCAUGCUUUACAUGAUCCGGCAUUUGCCUACCUUUCCAAUGCCAUCUGUGAUUAAUUUUCCUAUUGCUCGCUCUCCUGAGGACAAACUUGUUUUCUCUCUGAUCCUUGAGCAAAGCAGGCUUGAUACAGCCUUUGCCCUUCCUACUUUAUUGUCUGGAAACCUCUCCUAUUUGCUGUUUUCUUGACAGCCUCUUUCUCAUGAUUCAAAUCUCUGUCCAAAUGCCAUCUUCUGCAAAAGACCCUACCUGGCUAGUCUAUAAAGCACCCCUUUCACCACCUUCAUUCAUUCAUUGUCAUAUAAUGCUUUUUGUUUUCUUCGUAAAUCUACAUAGCUUUUUCUAUUCUGAGAUUAUCUUAUCUGUUUACAUCUUCAGCCUGUCUUCCCUCCCCAGGAUAUGACAAUGAAGCUGCGUACCUUCUCUGACUUGGUUAUCAUUUCAUGCCUAGGAGUCAAUAGAUAUUUAAUAAAUAUAUUUUGGAUGAAUUCAUUCAUUCCCUCAUUCAUUUAUUCAUUCAUUCUGAGCCUUUGAAGGGUCAUGCUGAUUCUUUUCUUCGACCUUAGUCUUUUCUUCUCUUUGUGAGAUGAUAAACUCAUAAAUCUCCUUCCAAAACUCAACUCAAGCAUUAAUCUCUACAUCCUUUCACAGCACUCCAACUCCCUGGUGAUUUCACAGAGCCCUGAGCUUAUGACUGCCACUAUGCUUCUGUGUAAUUGCAGUUAUAUGUCUCCGCCCCUCCAACUAUGAGUUCUUCCAAUGUAAGAGCCACAUCUCUUGUCUCUGAAUUCCCAUUGCUCACUGGAGAACCUGGCAUCUAGCUAGGCAGAAAAGCAAAACGAUUUGUGUCAGGUAACUUAGGUUAAAUCUAUGACUUUGCUAAUUGAUUGCCUUUGAAGGCAAUUCAUAACAUUUCUGAUUAUUUAUUUCCUUACCUGUUAAAUGGACCUUUUCAGCAUAAUUUUCUUUUGGAAUUGUUUUUGUUUUUAUAAGCAUGUAGGUACAUGUUCUUCCACUUUUGCACAAAUGGAAAUAUAUUAUGCGUAUUAGCUCUCUCCCUGCUACUUUCACUUAACAAUUUGUUUUAAUUUCAUCCUGAGAUCUUUCCACAUCUGUUGGAUCAUUCAUUUUGAUGGUUGCAUAUUAUUAUAUAAUAUAGAUUAUCAUAAUUAUUAACUGGCUCCCUAUUGAUUGGCAUUUAUUUUCAAUCUUCUAUGAUUCCAAAACAAAAAUGUUGUAAUUAAUAGCCUUGAAUGUGUAUGUGAUCAAUGGCAAAUCUACUAGUAAGAUAACACUUCAGAAGUGGAAUUACUGAAUCAAAAGGUAUAUCCAUUUGUGAUAUAAGUUGCCAAAUUAUUCUUAAUAGAAUUAUACUAUUUAAACUCCUACCAAAAAUUAAUAAGAGUACAAGUUGUUGUACAUACUCACUAUCAUAAUAGGUUAUCAAAUAUUUUGACCUUUGCCGUUCUGACAGGUAGGAAAUGUUGAGUUGUAAUUUCUAUUUUUGUUUCUCUUCCCAUGAGUUAAGUUGAAUAUGUUUCUUGAAUAUAUUUCUAUGUGUUUAAGAAACAUUCAUAUAUAUUUUUCUUUCUUUCUUUUAUUUUUGAGACAAAGUCUCUGUCACCCAGGCUGGAGUGCAGUGGGGCAAUCUUGGCUCACUGCAACCUCCAUUUCCCAUGCUCAAGUGCUCCUCCCACCUCAGCCUCCCGAGUAGCUGGGACUACAGAUGCAUGCCACCACACCCAGCUAAUUUUUGUAUUUUUUAGUAGAGAUGGGGUUUUGCCAUGUUGGCCAGGCUGGUCUUGAACUCCUGGCCUCAAGGCAUUCUCUCAACUUGACCUCCCAAAAUGCUGGGAUUACUGGUGUGACCCAUUGCACCCGGCCCAUUCAUAUGUAUUUUUCUGUGAAUUAUUCCAUAACAUUAUUUUCUCAUUAAUCUAUUCCAUUGUUAGUCUUUUCUAUUCAAUAUGUAGAAGCUCUUUAUAUAUAAUAUUAACACUUUGUCUAUAUUGUCUAUGCAGAUAUUUGUCCUAGUUUUUUGUUUGUUCGUAUAGUAAAAUUUAUGACUUGUGAAUUUAAACUUGUAAAGGCCUUCUCAUUCUAGCAUUUAUUUUUAAUUCUCUAAUGUUCUUCAAGUAUACAGUUUCACUUUUUAUGUCUAAGUCUUGAAUUCAGGUUCAUCUAUAACUUAUUUCACUGUAACUUGUGAGAGAGCUAUCUGUAUUACUGUUUGCACAUGGUUAGUCAGUUGUUCCUACACUAUUUAUGGAAUAAUUGUGUUCAGUAAUCAUAAUUCUCAAGUUUAUUGUAGUCUUAAUUCUACAGUUAAAUGGGUUCAGCUAUCUCUAUCAUUUGCUAUAGUUUCUUCUCCCACUGUUCUCAGAAUUGUUUUGAAGGUAAAAGGUAAUAUGAAUUAGCCUAACAGGGGCUAGGCGCUCAACGAAUUUUAACUCGAUUGCUAUUGAGAGUCUUGUUAAAUUAUUUUGUUUGUUUCAAUAUACAAGUCACUCUAUUUAGUUAAUAAAUAUUAUAAUAACCCAAAGGAAUAACUGUCACAGCAUUUAUUGGGCAACUAUUUAAAUAUACAAGCUUUGGAAGAUUUAUCUAAGCAAUUAUUUAUGCUGGCAUGUGUAGGAUCCUGAAAUGAACGGGA